rnacentral:rRNA from 1 species
CUCCCGGGCCUUGUACACACCGCCCGUCACACCACGAAAGUCGGUAACACCCGAAGCCAGUGGCCCAACCGUAAGGAGGGAGCUGUCGAAGGUGGGAUCGGUGAUUGGGGUG